AUUCUACUCCCUCCGUUGCACAAUACAUGCCUUCUAUUUGUCAAAAUAUAUAUGUAUCUAGACAUGUUUUAGUAUAUAGGUACAUCCAUUUUUGGACAAAUGGAAGUCAAGUAUUUUGGAACGGAGGGAGUACGCA
rnacentral:pre_miRNA from 1 species